rnacentral:tRNA from 1 species
GCGCCUGUAGCUCAGUGGAUAGAGCAACGGAUUCCUAAUCCGUGUGUCGCAGGUUCGACUCCUGCUAGGCGCACCA